GACGAACGCUGGCGGCGUGCCUAAUACAUGCAAGUCGAGCGGACGAUUCGAAAGCUUGCUUUUGAAUCGUUAGCGGCGGACGGGUGAGUAACACGUGGGCAACCUGCCCUGUAGACGGGGAUAACACCGAGAAAUCGGUGCUAAUACCGGAUAACACGAAAUGUCGCAUGACGUUUCGUUGAAAGGCGGCGCAAGCUGCCGCUACAGGAUGGGCCCGCGGCGCAUUAGCUAGUUGGUGAGGUAACGGCUCACCAAGGCGACGAUGCGUAGCCGACCUGAGAGGGUGAUCGGCCACCCUGGGACUGAGACACGGCCCAGACUCCUACGGGAGGCAGCAGUAGGGAAUCUUCCGCAAUGGACGAAAGUCUGACGGAGCAACGCCGCGUGAGCGAAGAAGGCCUUCGGGUCGUAAAGCUCUGUUGUUAGGGAAGAACAAGUAACGUAGUAACUGACGUUACUAUGACGGUACCUAACGAGAAAGCCACGGCUAACUACGCG
rnacentral:rRNA from 1 species